rnacentral:rRNA from 1 species
CACGUAGGGUGCGAGCGUUGUCCGGAAUUAUUGGGCGUAAAGAGCUCGUAGGCGGUGUGUCGCGUCGGCCGUGAAAACCUGCAGCUUAACUGUGGGCUUGCGGUCGAUACGGGCAUCACUGGAGUUCGGCAGGGGAGACUGGAAUUCCUGGUGUAGCGGUGAAAUGCGCAGAUAUCAGGAGGAACACCGGUGGCGAAGGCGGGUCACUGGUCCGGUACUGACGCUGAGGUGCGAAAGCGUGGGGAGCAAACAGG